GUACAUGCUUCGGCAGCACCUAUACUAAAAUUGGAACUAUACAGAGAAGAUUAGCGUGGCCCCAGUGCAAAAAUGGCACGCAAAAUAAUGAAGCAUUUCAUAUUUUU
ensembl:snRNA Gm25078 U6 spliceosomal RNA